GACGAACGCUAGCUACAGGCUUAACACAUGCAAGUCGAGGGGUAACGAGAGGAAAGCUUGCUUUCCUUGUCGACGACCGGCGCACGGGUGAGUAACGCGUAUCCAACCUGCCCCCAACUAGGGAAUAACCUUGCGAAAGUAAGACUAAUACCCUAUAAUUUCCUCAGAUGUCAUCUGACGAGGAAUAAAGAUUUAUCGGUUGUGGAUGGGGAUGCGUCUGAUUAGCUUGUUGGCGGAGUAACGGCCCACCAAGGCAACGAUCAGUAGGGGUUCUGAGAGGAAGGGCCACCACAUUGGAACUUAGACACGGUCCAAACUCCUACGGGAGGCAGCAGUGAGGAAUAUUGGUCAAUGGGCGGAAGCCUGAACCAGCCAAGUAGCGUGCAGGAUGACGGCCCUAUGGGUUGUAAACUGCUUUUAUACAGGAAUAAAGUUAGCCACGUGUGGUUAUUUGUAGGUACUGUAUGAAUAAGGACCGGCUAAUUCCGUGCCAGCCGCCGCAGUAA
rnacentral:rRNA from 1 species